ensembl:lncRNA
CUUGCCUUGUUAAAUAAAGGUACAAUUAAAAAUAAAAAAAUAAAAAGAGAGAGGUGUUGGAAAACAGAGAGAGAGAGGUGUUGGGAGACAGUGAGAGAGAGGUGUUGGGAGACAGUGAGAGAGGUGUUGUGGUGUGUUGGAAGACAGAGAGGUGUUGAGAGACAGAGAGAGGGGUGUUGUGGUGUGUUGGGAGACUGAGAAGUGUUGGGAGACAGAGAGAGGGGUUGGGAGACAGAGAGGUGUUGGGAGACAGAGUGGUGUUGGGAGACAGAGAGAGAGGUUUUGUGGUGUUUUGGGAGACAGAGAGAGAAGUGUUGUGGUGUG